rnacentral:rRNA from 1 species
AACGAACGCUGGCGGCAUGCCUUAUACAUGCAAGUCGAACGCGAAAGUCUUCGGAUGAGUAGAGUGGCAAACGGGUGAGUAACGCGUGGGAAUAUACCUUAUAGUACGGAAUAGCCUCGGGAAACUGGGAUUAAUACCGUAUACGCCCUUAGGGGGAAAGAUUUAUCGCUAUAAGAUUAGCCCGCGUCAGAUUAGCUUGUUGGUGGGGUAACGGCCUACCAAGGCAACGAUCUGUAGCUGGUCUGAGAGGAUGACCAGCCACAUUGGGACUGAGAUACGGCCCAAACUCCUACGGGAGGCAGCAGUAGGGAAUAUUGGACAAUGGACGAAAGUCUGAUCCAGCAAUGCCGCGUGAGUGAUGAAGGCCUUAGGGUUGUAAAGCUCUUUUAGUAGGGAAGAUAAUGACGGUACCUACAGAAAAAGCACCGGCUAACUUCGUGCCAGCAGCCGCCGUAA